rnacentral:lncRNA from 1 species
GUUUAUAGAGAGUCAGAUCCUUAUUUUGUAGCUUUCAGAUGUAAUUUCAAAUGAAUGAAGAUGAUGAUAUCACUUCAUAAUAUAAUAUUGCUUGUGCUUGUUCCCUAUUCAUCUUCCAGGUUCUAGCAGUCAUUCAAUAAUUGUUCCAUAGAUGAUUGUUCAAUCUGCAUCCAGUUUACCUAUUAGUAAAUUAAUCUCUAUUAAUGAAUACUUAGUCUAGUUCAUUCUUUUUUU